ACGCACGCUGGCGGCGUGCUUAACACCUGCAAGUCGAACGGAAAGGCCCUGCUUUUGUGGGGUGCUCGAGUGGCGAACGGGUGAGUAACACGUGAGUAACCUGCCCUUGACUUUGGGAUAACUUCAGGAAACUGGGGCUAAUACCGGAUAGGAGCUCCUGCUGCAUGGUGGGGGUUGGAAAGUUUCGGCGGUUGGGGAUGGACUCGCGGCUUAUCAGCUUGUUGGUGGGGUAGUGGCUUACCAAGGCUUUGACGGGUAGCCGGCCUGAGAGGGUGACCGGCCACAUUGGGACUGAGAUACGGCCCAGAUUCCUACGGGAAGCAGCAGUGGGGAAUAUUGCACAAUGGGCGGAAGCCUGAUGCAGCAACGCCGCGUGCGGGAUGACGGCCUUCGGGUUGUAAACCGCUUUCGCCUGUGACGAAGCGUGAGUGACGGUAAUGGGUAAAGAAGCACCGGCUAACUACGUG
rnacentral:rRNA from 1 species